rnacentral:rRNA from 1 species
UACGGAGGGGGCUAGCGUUGUUCGGAAUUACUGGGCGUAAAGCGCACGUAGGCGGCUUUGUAAGUUAGAGGUGAAAGCCCAGGGCUUAACCCUGGAAUUGCCUUUAAGACUGCAUCGCUAGAAUCGUGGAGAGGUAAGUGGAAUUCCGAGUGUAGAGGUGAAAUUCGUAGAUAUUCGGAAGAACACCAGUGGCGAAGGCGACUUACUGGACACGUAUUGACGCUGAGGUGCGGAAGCGUGGGGAGCAAACAGG